UAUCGGAACGUGCCCAGUAGCGGGGGAUAACUGGCCGAAAGGUCAGCUAAUACCGCAUACGCCCUACGGGGGAAAGGGGGGGAUCGCAAGACCUCUCACUAUUGGAGCGGCCGAUAUCGGAUUAGCUAGUUGGUGGGGUAAAAGCCUACCAAGGCGACGAUCCGUAGCUGGUUUGAGAGGACGACCAGCCACACUGGGACUGAGACACGGCCCAGACUCCUACGGGAGGCAGCAGUGGGGAAUUUUGGACAAUGGGGGAAACCCUGAUCCAGCCAUCCCGCGUGUGCGAUGAAGGCCUUCGGGUUGUAAAGCACUUUUGGCAGGGAAGAAACAGCCUGGGCUAAUAUCCCGGGCGACUGACGGUACCUGCAGAAUAAGCACCGGCUAACUACGUGCCAGCAGCCGCGGUAAUACGUAGGGUGCAAGCGUUAAUCGGAAUUACUGGGCGUAAAGCGUGCGCAG
rnacentral:rRNA from 1 species